rnacentral:rRNA from 1 species
CAGGUCUUGACAUCUGAAUGACCGGUGCAGAGAUGUACCUUUCCUUCGGGACAUUCAAGACAGGUGGUGCAUGGUUGUCGUCAGCUCGUGUCGUGAGAUGUUGGGUUAAGUCCCGCAACGAGCGCAACCCUUGAUCUUAGUUGCCAGCACUUCGGGUGGGCACUCUAAGGUGACUGCCGGUGACAAACCGGAGGAAGGUGGGGAUGACGUCAAAUCAUCAUGCCCCUUAUGACCUGGGCUACACACGUACUACAAUGGCCGGUACAACGGGCUGUGAAGCCGCGAGGUGGAACGAAUCCUAAAAAGCCGGUCUCAGUUCGGAUUGCAGGCUGCAACUCGCCUGCAUGAAGUCGGAAUUGCUAGUAAUCGCGGAUCAGCAUGCCGCGGUGAAUACGUUCCC